GUGUACUGUGUAUUACAAGGCUUCUCAGUAUUUGAGCUUCUUUUUUCAGCACACUCUUGUGAUUUGGUUUAGAUCUUUUCUAUGUGUAAGGGAACUGUUAUGUCAUAGCCUGAACUGAUCAUUGAGCACCUGGUGGGGGGGGGUGUGUGUUUCGCCAGGAAGCACAGGUGCAAGCAAUUUGCCUGUGCUUCCCCCAUGACCAGAAGUAGUGGACCAUGGGUCCACCCCUCCCUGGGCUCAUUUAAAGGCUAGCCUCCACAAGGAAAGCAUCUCCUGGAUGAUGAUCAGUUUCUGGUGCACAAUGUUCUAUAGCUGGAGAUGGUAUCAUCAGUUGGGAGCUUCUGCCUCUUGUGACCUUUCUCACGUUUCUGGUCUGGCAGAAGGCAGCCAACAGGUUCAAGAAUUAUUAAGGAGAGGCUAAGAGAUAAACAACGUAUUCUCUUAGGCUAUAUUUCUACAGGAAAAGAAGAAAAAAUGACUGUUCCACAAAGAGGAUGAUUUCACACUAAGCAGCUUCUGUUUCCACUCUUAUGUUUGGAAAAUGUUACUGCUCUUCAGUAAAGAGCCCUCAGAGACUUGCUUUCUGUGAGGCCAGAACGCCUCACUGGCUUGUUGCAGAUUUUUGCUGGCACAUCAUCAUAUUAAUGUUCCUCCUAAGGUUCUCUAAAGUGUCUCUGUUUUGAAGCUGAAGAAGAAAUUGAGUAGUGUAGCAGCAUGUCACCAUUUGUUUUUAGUAAAACCUACUGUGCUUUAUAUAAAAAUCAAAGGCCUCUGUCAAAAAAAAUGACCUUUAAGCAGCGUAUAUUUUAGAACACUUGUUCAUGAUACUUGCAAGUACAUGUCAUGAUUUUUCUCUAGAAAAGCAAAAUGUGAGAUCAGCACUACAUUACUGAAAAUAGUAUGUAAGACAAAUGCUACAGACAGAAAAAUACUAAUUAGCUCUAGAAUGCUAUGUGUUUUUUAAAGUGAACCUAUGCUUAGAAACUUUUUAUUUGGAACCAUUUUUCAUUGUAAACCUUGGUUGUGCUAUUUGAAUGUUGUGGUCUAAUGAGCAGGUUACCAACUGAGGCUCAAAAGAUCUGGGCCCGUUCUGUGUUCUGCAGUUCAUCUUGCAGGUAUCCUUAUGCAAGCUGUUCUGCUUUCCCCUCAGUUCACAGGAGUUCUGUAAGUAGUUUCUCUUGCCAUUAAGAGUAAGAUUUUCAAUAGACAGUGUUGGCCUCACUUGAUGUAAUACUAGAUGAGGUGCUAUAGUCACAUAAAAAUAUUUCUUACUGUACAAAAACUUAAAACUCCUGGAAAGUUCUGCAGUGAGUGUCAUCGUCCUUGCUUGCAAAGGAGAUGUGGAAUAAGUGCUGUCUGUCUCUGAAAACUUGCAGCAUGGGACAGUGCUAUUUUAGCAUAUUCAGAAAAUAGCUUAAUCUUUUGGUCACUUUGGUAAUUUUUUGCAUCAGUGUAGCUUGUCUGAAAGGAUGUUCACCUUGCACAGACCGGUGGAGUAACAUGGCUAGACCAGUGGAACUGACCAGCUUGCUAAAUGUGAGUGUUCCUGAGCAUGGAACAGAUAUAGGGUUAGACAAGUUUUGUCUCAAUAUCUGUAACAGGUUGAGUUCCUGAUUUUCCUUGGAAGGUAGUCACAGCUCAAUCUCUGCUUGACAUUAUGAAGCAAGCAUAAAAUAGAUAACAUCAUCAGAUUCCUGGUAACCUGGACAAAACCUGCAUUAUAGCUGGAAAGAAGUGCUUCAGGACCAUCUUAUCCAUACAGCCUAAAGGAAGUGACAAUUCCUGGAACCUGCUCUUUUCCAAUGAAAAUGGAGAAGAAUGGAGGAAGAGAGCUUGAGACUUUAACAGCUGAACAAGAGAUCCUGCCCCGGUGUACUCCGGAGAGCAAUCCUAGAAGACAGUUUUUCAUCAGCCUCUUCUAUUACUUUUAACUUCUUUGAUUCUACGCAUUUCCAUCUUCCCUAAGAAGAGCAGGAUUCCUGUCAAUCUCUUUUUCCAGCACACACAAUGACAGUCCUCUGUGCAGAUGGAGCCACAGGAGUUUCACCGCCUUUUAAAAUAAAUAAAAAUGUUCAAACUGCUUUUGGAUUCAGGGCAUAUUGACUGCCGUCGUUCUGCUACCUCUUAGCAUUUCUUUGCUGCUUACAUGGCUUGACUUCUCUCGUGCUUCUAGGAAACAUGCUUUAUUUUAUAAUGUUUCUCAUGUGCUAAAACAAGUACUAAGUCAAGCAGUUACCAGAGCUGGAGAUCUAACCUUCCUCCAAUUGGUACAGUCAUCAUGUAAUAGCCAUCAUGUUCCUUUUAAGUAUAGAUUAUUAUUAAUUAUUGAGCAUGUAUUACCUUGGCUGCUUGCCCAGUAUGUCCUUGAUAACUCAGGGUCACAAAAAAUGAGUAAUGCUCUGGUUCUACUCCAUAAGACACAGGAUCAGCAUGAUUACAGUGGCCUUAAUAUUCAAGAAUCCUUUAAAUUUGGCACACCAAAUCAAAUUUUAAAAGUAGUUUAGAUUGCUUUUCAUGAGUAAUUGCUAUUAACCCUUAUUCCCCUUCUUGCCGCUUUCCAAAACUGUUAUUGAUUCUCUGUUCCUCAGAUGCUAAGAAUAUCCUUGGAUAGUGUGUUGGGGAUUUCAAGCACUAGCAAGCUUAUCAAAGUAAUGGGAUUACUUAGGUAGCAGCAGAAGAUAUUUGGAUAGAUAAGUACGUAGCUUGAUACCUGUCUCUAUGUUGGGAGUAACAUCAAGUAAGGCAUUUUGAUUGUGAAACUCUUAUGUAAUCAUUUUCCAAUGGAAUUGCAUUCUCCUCAUGUGGGAGGGUUUUGUGGUGCG